rnacentral:lncRNA from 1 species
CUCUCAAAUUUGUACACUUGAUGGAGUCGAGACGAAGCACUAUGAGUCCCUUCAACAUACCAAAGGUUCCCCCACUUAUCUUUUGUAUUUUACUGAAACCCAGAUACAACGUCUUUAGGUUCUUUAACUCCCCAAUAUCAACUUCCUUGAUUUCUAUCCGAAACAUGGAUAAUACCUCAAUGCUUUUGGGGAAGCGCCAACAGAAAGAAAGUCUUCCAGAAAGUCGUACAACUUUCAGCCUGGGAGCCAUCUAUGUAGAACCAGAUUAAGGCAGAGUUAAAACAAAAACAUGAAGAACAAAGACGAAGAUAUAACUGACGAGUCACAGCUGCAAAAAACACACACCUUCAUCAUAUGGCUCCACUCUGUUUUGCUAGUGGUCAAAACAAGAAUUACCAAAUUUUUCAUAGUAAAAUUGGUCAAAGGAGGAUCAUUUAAAGGUUGUCGAGUUGUCAUUUAAAGCUAUUUAGUUCAUUUCUUGUCACUGAGAACAUCUAUUGCUAAUUAUGUCAAUCCAAUAAACUGCCUUUAUGUUUGUUAAUUGAGAUUGAAACUUCUGAAGAGCUAAGAUUGCAUGCAUGCUCAAAAUCUGUGAUCUUGUGUUACAUGCAUUCCAUGGUAGAUUUAUUUAAGUACUGAAUUGACUCCAGAGUGGUAUGAGAAGCUUGAUCAACAUCUUCUGUUGAAACAGCUUCAAUUGAUAUUGAGAGCAAGAGGAUCAGAUUACAACACAAACAACGUGUGAAGUUCAAUGGCUGCAGUUUCUCUCCACCGAACUACGUGUUCCAGAUAUCACUCAUGUCUCUGUUUACUGUGACAAUCAGUCAGCAAUGCAUAUGGUAGAGAAUGCUACGUUUCAUGAGCGCACAAAAUACAUUGAAAUAGACUGUCAUUUGGUGAGAGAAAAGAUUAAGACGAAGGUAAUCAAACUCUUUUACGUGUCUACUGCAAAUCAUUUGGCUGACCUUUUUAUGAAAGGUCUAUCUCCUCCACCAUUUGGCUCUUUGAUGUCCAAGCUUGGUUGCAUAACAUAUGCCCACCGGCUUGAGGGGAGUAACAGAGAAAGGAUAUUUUUAGCGUGUGUCUGUAGUAGAAUUCGAACCCUCUGGAUUGCGGUCCUAAAUCGAAGCGCGUGGUUGAUCCCUGUUUACCCGACCUGUUGGGAUCGGUCCAAAAUCUUGAGAUCUCGUGCUGGUCAGGUUUCCACAAGUUACAAAAGCUGUCGUGUGAGUUCAUGGAGGUCAAGACACUACGUCGUCUGUACCGAUGCGAGAUACUCUCGAUUCUGAUGUCUAGCGAGUACUACUACGACGAGCUGUUUAGUGGGAUUCCGAAUUUCACAGAGUUGGAGUUGAUCGAAUGCUGGUUUAGCACUGACCGUCCUGUUGGAAUUUCGGGUAGGAAGCUGGUCAGCAUCGUGUUGGUAUGUUCUAACAAGCCAUAUUCUCCUUCGUUUCGAACGGAAGUUACGAUUCGUACGCCCAAUUUGAAGUACUUCAAGUGCAAGAGGGUGGACCCGGCUCAGUUCACCAGUUCAAACUUCCGUUGUUAGAAUGUUUGGACAUCGAUGUACAUCUGAAUAUCCAUCCGAAUCCAAACCAUGUAAUCUGGUUGAACUUUGUAACGUACGAAUAAACCAAAGUUCAUUUAUAUAGUAAAAUAAAAGGAAAAAACUCGAUCCAAUGGUCAUGUCAACUUAUGCAAACACACAAAAUAUCAACGACUAACGUGACUAGACAAACCAAGACUUAAUAACCUUAGCCACGGCAAAAAAAAGAGAAGCAAAAUAUGGAUCUUAAUAAACCAACAUGUAACCAAUCACUAAACCAACAAAAACCUAACACCAUCAAGAACCGAUUAACAUAUGAGCAAAUCGAAAGUUAAUGUACUACAGUAGAAAGUAGAAAAACUAAUGUGAUCACUGUCACUCCAUAUAUAACAGACAAGACUAAUAACUCAUUCAUCCAUCUCACUUAUAUUUCUUCGUCCGGUCAUAUUAUAAUUACAUUGGGCGGUAGAGUGCUCUUGAGUGCAGAGAGAUGAUCUACACUCAAGCUUUUGCAUCCUCGAAUGUCUAUCCACAUACUCUUAUUAUUAUCGAGUUGCUGUUCAUCAGGCCAUAGUCUCUCCAACGACGUGCAACCCUCUAGAUACAAAAAAUGUAAAGACUUCAACUCUGCAAGCCCUUCAAUCUCCCGCAAACUCGACACCUUUACUCGGAGUUCACUUAACUUUUGCAGCUUUGACAAGAAAGAUAUCCUCUCUAUGCUGGAAGAAGAUGUAUCAUCUAACUCUAACUCCAAACUAACCAACUCUUCUAGGGAUCCAAGCACCUCCAGCUCCUCCUCCUUAGUGAUAUUUACCAUCGAGAGAGUCAACUCCUUUAGCAUUGGGAACUUUAGAAGAGAUUGUAUCAUCGGACCAACCUCCAGCCGUGGACAAUCCCCAAUGGUCAGUUUUUCAAAAGAGGGGACUACUACUGUUUGGUCGUGGAGUUCGCAUGGGACUAUCUCAGUGAGGUCAUGGCAUGCUUCAAUCUCUAAUUUCUCCAACUUGCAGGUAGAAGAACACAAGAGAUCCAUAAGCCCUUUGAUCCGAGUUAAACCAUUUACUCUCGUAAUAGUAAGAGUUUCCAACGAUCUCAACCCUUGUAGCCCAUCCAAAUCACCUCCAAGAGUUUGGAAGAUGUCGUUGACUACCAGCGAAGUCAAAUUCUCCAAGUUCUCUAUUCCUGGAAGCCACGUUGGUUCUUUACACCAAUAAAUUACGAGAGAGGUUAGCGACGAUGGUAGUAAAUAAUGACCACCGGAAGAAGCAUCCACAACUUUUAUAUUGAUUCUUGUAUUCCUGAGUUUCAAAGACUUCAACUUGGAUACCUUCCACCACACGCUACCUUCAUCUUCAGUACUGUUAGCAGGAGGGAUGUCGAUUCCAUCCUUGCAACCAUAAACCUCCAGUAACUCCAAAUCCAACAACUUUGCAAGAUUCGGAAUCACAGAUGAAGUGGAUAACUCCUUCAAGCCUAAUGGAAAUUCAUUAAUCUCGACCUCCUUAACGUUGUCUAUUUUCAAAAUUUUGAGAGACGACAGCUGACAAAUAUCGGCAACUACUUCUCUCAAAUUUGUACACUGGAAGGCCUCGAGAAGAAGCUCUAUGAGUCCCUUCAACAUACCAAAGGUUCCCCCACUUAUCUUUUGUAUUGUACAGUAGCUCAGAUCCAACGUCUUUAGCUUCUUUAACUCCCCAAUAUCAAAUUCCUUGAUUUCUAUCCGACACAUGGAUAAUACCUCAAUGCUUUUGGGGAAGCGCCAACAGAAAGGAAGUCUUUCGGAGACCCCAUUGUGGGAAUAAAGUCGUACAACUUUCAACCUGGGAGCCAUCUAUGUAGAACCAGAUUAAGGCAUAGUUAAAACAAAAACAUGAAGAACAAAGACGAAUAUAUAACUGACGAGUGACAGCUGCAAUAAACACACACCUUCAUCAUAUGGCUCCACUCUUUUCUGGUAUUGCCCAAAUCAAGAAUUACCAAUUUUUUCAUAGUAAAAUUGGUCGAAGGAGGAUCAUUCUCUUCAUCUCUGUACUCGCGCAACAGAAGCCACUUUAAAUUCGGGAGAAGAUUAUCGAAAUCUCCGGUAAGCAAUGUGGUUGAUACUGCAUAGAAG